AGUAAAUGCAUCACCCCUGACCUCACAAAGAAGAUCAGCAUGUAGCACUGUUCAUUCAGCGUAUAACCAAAAAAAAAGCCAGUGCCACUGGACUGCAAGAGAAAGGAGGGCAGAAGGAAAUCAACUCUGUAUCUGGAAGGGACAGGUAGGUGAAACCCAAGUCAUAGAAACGC
rnacentral:lncRNA from 1 species